rnacentral:rRNA from 1 species
UACGUAGGGGGCAAGCGUUGUCCGGAUUUAUUGGGCGUAAAGCGCUCGCAGGUGGUCCGCUGCGUCGUGCGUGAAAGACCCCGGCUCAACUGGGGGAUGUCGUGCGAUACGGGCGGACUGGAGGCCAGUAGGGGGAUGCGGAAUUCCGGGUGUAGUGGUGGAAUGCGCAGAUAUCAGGAGGAACACCGGUGGCGAAGGCGGUUCUCUGGGCAUUACCUGACGCUGAGGAGCGAAAGUGUGGGGAGCGAACAGG